rnacentral:rRNA from 1 species
UACAGAGACUGCAAGCGUUAUUCGGAUUCACUGGGCGUAAAGGGUGCGCAGGUGGCCAAGUGUGUCAGGUGUGAAAUCCCGGGGCUUAACCCCGGAACUGCGCCUGAAACUGCAUGGCUAGAGCAUUGGAGAGGGAAGUGGAAUUCACGGUGUAGCAGUGAAAUGCGUAGAUAUCGUGAGGAACACCAGAGGCGAAGGCG